rnacentral:rRNA from 1 species
GAUGAACGCUGGCGGCGUGCCUAAUACAUGCAAGUCGAGCGAACAGACGAGGAGCUUGCUCCUCUGACGUUAGCGGCGGACGGGUGAGUAACACGUGGAUAACCUACCUAUAAGACUGGGAUAACUUCGGGAAACCGGAGCUAAUACCGGAUAAUAUAUUGAACCGCAUGGUUCAAUAGUGAAAGACGGUUUUGCUGUCACUUAUAGAUGGAUCCGCGCCGCAUUAGCUAGUUGGUAAGGUAACGGCUUACCAAGGCAACGAUGCGUAGCCGACCUGAGAGGGUGAUCGGCCACACUGGAACUGAGACACGGCCCAGACCCCUACGGGAGGCAGCAGUAGGGAACCUUCCGCAAAGGGCGAAAGCCUGACGGAGCAACGCCGCGUGAGUGAUGAAGGUCUUCGGAUCGUAAAACUCCGUUAUUAGGGAAGAACAAAUGUGUAAGUAACUAUGCACGUCUUGACGGUACCUAAUCAGAAAGCCACGGCUAACUACGUG